rnacentral:lncRNA from 1 species
CCGAAAAGCUUAGUCCAAUCGAACUACGCGAAAAGAAGAUCAUUGAGGAUUCGUGUGAAAGAGUUGGAAAUCAGUGGAUGGUUUCAUAUCCAUGGAAAAAGGACAAAAACUUGCUACCAGACAACCGAAGCCAGGCACUCAAGAAACUAGAAGCCACCGAACGCCGCCUUAUGAAAGAUCCUGCCAGCGCCAAAGAGUAUAACAAGCAGAUAACCGAAAUGACUGAGUUGAACUUUGCUAGACAGUUAUCGAAGGAAGAAAUAACAAACCACAAAGGUCCAGUACAUUACAUCGC